UUACCCACAUAAUAGAAUUCUCCCAAUAUAUAUAUGUUGUAUAUCACCUACUUUAGGGCACAAUGAAAACUGAAAGAGGCGAAAAGUGAAGGAGAAUUGGGGAGGCCGCAGAUGGACUGCUGGAAGUGGAACAGGAAGGGCAAGCCAGCAAUGGAUUGCCGAAACCAUGGUUGGAAUGCUUGGGAAGUGUACGUCAGUUCCAGGCUUGAGUUUGUUCGUGUGGAGCAGAAACGGUCACUCAUUCUUCCGACGAUGUAGGAUCUCUUUCCAGAUGUUCGACUUGGAUUUUAUCUUCAGUUUUACUUUGAUUCAGUUUGGGAUUUUUAUAUUAGGGUCCACUAGAGAUGGAUUCCCAAGUUGUUAAAAGAUUGGAGAUUUUGGAUUGUAGGAUUUUAAGUUAUUAAUAUUUUAAGGUUUUUAUAUCGAGGAUUUCUUUUAUAGUUUCUUUCCGCUUAUUCUUUUAUUUCUUAAAUCAUUUUUUUUUUGUAAUCUGUGUUCGUUUAAAAAACUUUAAUUGUUUGGUAUCCCUCGGACUCGGGUCG